AUAUCUUAAAUAAUGUAUAGUUUUAUAUUUUAAUUAUUUCCAAAUAUUACAUCUAUCUGAAAAAGCAAAAAAAUUAGAAUAAGUAACUAUAAAAUUUAAGAAAAUAAUACUAAGUAAAAAUACAAUAUAAUAAAUCAAAAUAUUACAUUAAACGUCUAAUUGAAAAAUGUGUAGUUUUACAUUUUUAUUAUUUCCAAAUAUUUAUCUCGCUCUGAGACACAUCGCUAUAAAACCCAUUAUCCCACCAACAUCAACCUCACACCCAUAAAAAAAGACUCCAGCAAAAAAAAAACAAUGGCUCCACCAUCGACCCUUGUCGUCCCAAAAACGUUUGGCGACAUAUGUCUAUGUGUGAUGUUGUUUCUAUGAACUAAAUCAGAUCAGCAAGACAAUAUUUGGAGAAGACCAACAGAUCUCAGGAGGAAAUUCUUAAAUUCAUAUAUGAUGAGUACAAAGCUUUGGAGGUAAUUUGAAAAUAAACACUAUAUGAUCACUUAUGCAUUUCCCUCUUUGUUGAUUUACUUAUUAACAAUGGUUUGUACGGUAAAUGAAGAAAAUUUGGAAGGUACUGGCUUGGCAAUUCACUUAGCUCAACUCUGCUAUGGGGGAUGCAUUCUCUCAGCUAAAAACAACAGAUACUUCCAAUGGUGCAGCUUUAAGGACCGACAAAGUUGAGGUAUAAUCUAAAUAACAUCAAUAAAUAUAUUUGAACACAUUAUUUAAAAUGAGUUUUCCAUUUAGCAAACUCUAAUAAUCAGUAGUGACACUUGAAUGAUUCAUGGUUCCAUCGGGUCUUAUACAUGAACAUAAUUGCAUUAACAUUUGCAUUGUUUUGAAGAUUCUGUUGCAAUUGAGUCUGAUCUAAUAUACAUUUGAACUGAUAAAAGAACUUGAUUGUUGCAGCUACUUAUCAAUCCUCAGUCUGAUGAUUCUUCUCAGUUAUCCCAGGUAAGAAGAAGAAACAAAAAUGUAGGAGAUAAUAUGUUUUAAAAAAUUUUGGAGAUGCUGCAUCUGGCGCUUUAGAAGUUAUAGAAAGCAACAAAAAUGGAAAUGCCAAAGUUUCAGGGUGAGUCUAAUGAAAGUUAUUGUAGAAUGGUGGAGAAGUGGUGGUAAGGUCAUGGUGAGCGAUGGCGUGAUGGCAGAGUUGGGGGGGGGGGGGGGGAGGGUGUGGUCACAGCUUGGUUGUGAUGGUUGUAUGACUUAAAGAAAACACAGGUCAGAGCAGUGGAGAGAACGAAACAGAGUAAAUAAGAGAAGGAAGAAAAUAGUUUCGAGAUGGGUUUUUGCAUGUGGAAUUUUGGUAUUUUCCAAGCAACAGAGGUCAGAUCAAAGGUGUAUUUACAAAGGACAUGUCAAAAAAGGCAGAAUAACUAUCGUAAGUAUAAUCAGAGAUAAGACGAAGCCAUAAUCAUCAUUGCUUCCUAGACCUGCUAACAUGAACACAAAAAUAUGUGUGUGAAGGCAAAUUUGGAAGAGUACACAAGUAAGGAAAAUCAGAUUACGAUAAGAGCACAAUGCAUAGAAUCUACAUCAAUUGACAUUUUAUAAUUCCAAUGUACGUUAACUCAUUCCGAAAACAUGCUUUAAACGAGUAUUAAAUGGGAAAGCUAAAAGGUCAAAAUUUUCAAGAAAAAAUUAAUGUUUUCAUUAAAUUGAGUGAAUCUCAGUAGCUGGAAGCAUACAACAUAUGGAUUUGUGGAAUUCAUUGUCGUCCCAAGAUCAAAUAAUCCCUAAUAACUCAACCUUUAAUAAAUUACCUUGGACCAUUAGCAUAACGGGCACCAAUUUUUCUUCUGGAAAAUAAAAUACUAAUUCAAUCAAAUUAGGUGCUUUGAGAGAUUGUACGAACCUGAGGAGAACCUAUACUUGUGGCUAAUGGGAUUAAUUUAGACAUGUAUGUUUACUUCACCUGCAACUAAAUUUAAAGAUUUAUGCAAACAAAAGAUCAGAUAAUUUCUCUUCAACAUCAACAUUUUCCCCGAAAAUGCCAGUAGCAAACAUGACACUUCUCAUUCUUCAACGACGCUGGGUUUUAGCGAUGGACAUGUGGUACAAACUUAAGCAAACGAAACCGACCAAACCAAAAUUAUCGGUUCUCUGUUUUCAUUAAUCGGUUUGUGGUUCGGUUGGCAAGCAAGGACCAAUUGGUUAGAACAUAUCAACCAACUAAACUGAAUACACAGAAAUAGACCAAAAAACAAAUAAAACUGAAUAAACAAAAGUUUACUCACCUGAUUUUUUUUCCGAAUAAACAUACAUAGCAAAACUUCUAUAAAUUAAUACUCGAUAAAUUAAUAAUCUCUAUAAAUUAAUAAAUUUCGUCAGUCCCAACUUGGGCCGGUGUAAAAUAUGACACAAAUCGAUAAAAUAAUAAGAUAAUAAUAUUUUUAAAACUCCCAUGUAAAUGUAUAGUCCCAUUAAAAUUAUAAAUUAAUAAUAUAUCUCUAUAUAUAUUUUAUAUAAAUACAAACUAAACAUUAUAUUGUUGGUUUUAUAUUCACAAUGAAAAUACUUUUAUUUUUCUUAUUAUUUUAAUAUAUUUAAAUAUAUUUUAAUAAUAUUUAGUAAAAUUAUAUCGAAAACCACAUAACAAUUCUAUGAAACAUAACACUAUACACCAGAUAAGAUAAUAAAAUAAUAUGAAAAUAAAUUUUCUAAAAUUUAAAUAAUUUAUAUACGGCAAAAUCAAAUAUUUUCUUAUUUUAUUAAUAAAAAUAUUUAAAAAUAGAAAAAAAAAACUAAAAAAGAAAAAUUUUGUAAAUUAAUUUCUCUAUAUAUAAAUUAAUAAAAUUUUAAAGUCCCAACAUUAUUAAUUUAUAGAGGUUCUAUUGUAUAUAGAACAGUAUCAGUUCAAAUAUAUAUUUUUCAAAGGAAUAAGUGAUGAAAAAAAGUAUAUAUCAAAAUUAAUUUUAUUUUUAGUUAAGAAUAAAUUAAAUAUUUAAAAUAUAUUAUUUUUUCAUUUAUUUGCAUACCCCCGCCCGUAGGGCGGGUUGAUCAGUAGUCUAUAUUAUAAUAGAUCAUUUUUUCUCACUUUUAAGGUUGUCCACGUCAUCACCCCCUUUAUUUAUAUGGGACCCACGUUUGAUCAUUAAGUCUUCGCGUUUGGUUCAAUAAUUUAUUAGUCCCUUCGGUUUAUUAUUUCGGUAUCAGUCUCAUGAAUGAAUGUUUGGUUAUAUAACCAAACUCUGCGUUUUGUGUUUGAGUAGAUUAGGGUUUCAUUGUUAUGGUUUUUUGACUGCAAACACGAUGAUUCCUUUUCUCAACUCUUAACCUUUCCUAACGUUCAACGUAUUCUUCUUAAUUUCGCCAAUAAAUGUUGUUCUCACUUAACCCAAUAACAAUGUCGACCUUUCUGUUUCCUUCCUAUACAUCAAACCUAUAAGUUGGAGCUCCUGCUUGCGGGGACUUGAUGAUCCUCCUGAUUGAGGUAGAUGAGUCCGGUCACAUCACUGAUUCUCGAUAGUCCUUUGGCUGUAGCACUUCCAUCGCUGUUUCUUCCGUCGCUUUUGAAUGGGUCAAGGUAUCGGAAGUUUUGACUAUUAAUAACGCGGCAAGCGCAAAGCAUCUUCGCUUGCCUCCGUUCAAGCUGCAUUACAGUAUGCUUGCUGAGGACGCCAUCAAGUCUGCUGUCAAAAACUACAAGAAGAAUAAAGCAUUUUCUGAUCCAGCCGUGGUUUGAUUCUACUGAUGAUGGUGAUGAUUAAUUUCAUCUGAAGAAAACUGUUGUGUUUGUGUGUUUCUUCCUUCUAGCAAGUAACUCAUGAUGUUUAUUAGCUAUUGAAUUUGCAUGUCCUGAGCUUCUUUUUCUUUUGUGUGGAACAGUUGCAGUGUCAUUUCAUCACAUGACUAAACAUUUAGAGAAUAAUAAUAUAUCUACAUCUAUACAAAGUAUCUGGUUAGCGUGAUAGACAUGUAUCAACUAAUAUGUGUUACGUAUUUACCAGUAUAACCAUAUUUCUUGCUAUAUUUGAACAUGUGAACUUAUUUCACGUUGGACUGGUUGAUUCCUGAAUUCCAUCUGAUUCUUCAUGGUAGAUAAAGGACAAACAAACAUCUAGAUUUAGAUGUUGAUCCAUUUAUGUGUUCGUUUCUUCCAUAGAUUUUCCGCCUUGGACGGUCCUCUCAGGUGGUUGUUGGCCGGCUCUUCGUUUCUGGGAUUCAGGAAACAUCAAGAAGAAUGAAGAGUUUAUGGCUUGGGUGGUGCCAUUACGGACGUUUCCAUGUGUUGAGACAAUUGGAGAGAUUGAAAAGAAAGAACUUGCCUCAAUUGGAGAUCUUCACACAUACCUCUCCAAGUUAACCGAUAAGGUAACUAUGACUACCAUCCUUUUUAAACGAAUACUAUAUCUAUUCAUAACCUGACAGAUGAUGUCUUCUCAAUUGUUGUUGUCAGGACCCAGGAAAACUGUCCUAUUAUACAUAUGAUUUAAGUUUCAAUGUUCAUAAGUAGCUUUGCCCUGUGAAGCUUUUGUCAUAAAAGAAUUUUUUUCGCUGCAUUUUCAUAGAGGAAAGAUUUUACUGUAUCAUCAAAUAAUGUCAAAUCCUCUCUUAUUGACAAAUAAUAAGUGUCAAGGUUGUCUCAUCCAAAAAAAAAAAAAGAGGUUCUCUCAUCCUAUUAGUGUCCCUAAACAUCCAUAUUAAGGCUGUGUUUAAGUUUCUCAGGGACCCUGCUUCUAUUGGUGUUUGGCUUUACCAGAGAAAAAUAGAUGAAUGGAAGUUCUUGAGAACUGGGAAGUGCAUUCUGGUCGCAUCACAAAGCUCUACACAUUACCACUAAAGGUUUCAAAAGCAGUGAGAUUCUUCAGGUGGAGGGUGGGUUUGGACGCAGCUUGGGAGUUGCAGUGACUAUGGUCUUUACACGGAUUUUGAGAAAAUGGCUGGAAUUCAGAAGAAAGAAGGUGUUGGUUGCAGAUCUUCACACCUACAUAUCCAAGGCCAGUGACCAUGUGUCCACAACUUUGUAUUCCUAUUACGGCCAAGCUAUUUAAUAAAACAUGUCCCUACUAAUAUUUCCUGUAAUCUCCUUUGUGAAGAACCACAAACCUCACUUAAUGUGUUAAGCUUAGAUCGUACGUCUCCUAAAUAAUCAAACUCAAGAAAUAUUUAAGUUUGAAUCCACACAAUACACUC